rnacentral:rRNA from 1 species
GGGUUAGUAGAUUGGUCAUGCCAUUGGUAUGUACUGGUCUUACUGACUCCUCCUUCCUGAUGAACCGUAAUGCCAUUAAUUUGGUGUUGCGGGGGACUGGACUGUUGCUUUGAAAAAAUUAGAGUGUUUAAAGCAGGCUAACGCUUGAAUACAUUAGCAUGGAAUAAUGAAAUAGGACGUUCGAUCCUAUUUUGUUGGUUUCUAGGAUUGACGUA